CAUUGGUAUCCGCUGCAGAAUUGCUUUCCUACUUGCUGCUGGGAGAACCCGCAGGUAUUCGGUCCAGAAGUCUUCUGUGUUGAUGGCUAGAAACCAUCGUAAAACAAGUGGGCUGUUUCUCUGGUGUUCAGUGUUGAUAUGGGAUGAAGCUGGAUUUCUGAAACAACACGCCUGUCUGGGUUUGCUUGGGCAGAACUCGGCCGGGGCAGAACUCGGCGGGAUGAGAGCUCUGGGCCAGGCCGGCGGCAGAACAGGAGGCUGACCGUGGGCAGAACUCGGUGGGAUGCAAGCGCCGGGCCAGGCCGGCUGCUGAACAGGAGGGGGAAGGUGGAGGACGGCAGAGCUCAUCCAGCGUCUGCUUUUUCUCCAUCCUUUUCAUCCUAAAAGAAUCUUCGUGCCAGAGUGGCCUGCUCCAUGCCCCUUCAGCAGAGAAGAGGACGAUGAGCCUGGCACGUACCAGUUGCCCAGAUUCCACCGUCAACUCGAGGCCCGUUUGUCUCACCCAGGUCUCCACUUCCUGCCUCCUGGCACCCUGCCAUUCCAUCCACAGGGUCCCAUAGUUAUUUGUAAACAAUAAGCACUUCUUUAAGCCAAACUGUAAAACCGCUUUCACACUUGAAAAGUAACACUAAUUCCUCAA